UUCAUAGGGUUCCAACAACGCCACGUAUCCUACAUUCAUUCGGAGCGACACAACAUUCGACACAACGUUCUGGUGCUGUUGCAACCCUUCUGUACAAUUUCAAUGCCGCCAUGUCAUCCAACCUUUGAACGACGCCAAUCAAAUUGGAGGAGUAAAUCGACAUUUUUCUUCAAUAGCUUCCUAAAAGCGGUGCAUUGAGUCAACACGAUCUCUCAUACACACUUAUUGGCGAGAAAAGGGGUCUUAGUGGAAUGCUCUAAAGUGGGAGCAGUUCAGGUCCGAAGACAAAGAAUUUUCUUCGGAUUACAAGGUCUAUGGGGUUUUCUCGUUACCCACAUUAUUAUUACAUUUUGUUUGAUUUGUUAAAAUCACCAAAGGAAUGGAUUGUCAAGUAAGAAUUCAUUUUAUUCUUAAUUUUUAAAUUUCAUUUUAAUGUUCUUUUGAAACCCUUGCUUUUCUGGGUUUUUGAUUUGUUCAACUCAUUCAAAUUUCAAGUACUAUGGCGAUAGGGUUUCAAAUAAUCUGGUCUUAUCUCCUUCAGAUCGUAAUAUAGGAGAGUAUGCUUUUUUAUUUCUUGCUUUUGGUCGUUGAGAAUUCUCUAAGGCCUUUAAUCGAUCCUGCAUCAUGAUUCUUUAUUUCUUUUCUAAACUUGGUGCUUUAUAAUUUCAAUUAUAUAAAUUUUGUUCAAGAAGGUUAAUAUUUAUUUUUUCAUCUUCCAUUUGUUUGAAGACGACAUCUUUUGUAUUUUGUCAUAUAUUAAGGAAGUUCAGUUCAGUUUGUGAUUCUGUUGGGGAUUUUGGAAAUAUUGAAUAAGGUUUAGGAACAAAAAGUUUAGCAUGACUAUUAUAACAUUCCACUACUUAGAUUGCUUGUGUGGAUGAUUCAAAGAAAAUCAAUGAAAUAAAGAACGAGUUUUUUGAAUUUACAUUUCAAAGCGUCUUUUCAUGUGAUUUGUAAUACGAUUAGUAAAAUUCUAUACCAUUCCUUGGUUUGGUGUCAAGAUGUUAUGAACUGAUUACAUAUUUUGGAUUUUGUAAAGUGAAAUGUUUUAAAAUUGUUCUAAGUAAAAUUUUCUGAUAGGGUGAAGAUAAGGGUUUAUAUAAACUAUAUAUGUUAAUUGAAGAUUGGUUUGCUAAAUAUACAGUUAUCAUUAUAUUCAUUAACAUGAGAAAACUUAAGACCAUGAAAAAUAAUUUAUAAACUCAUGAUUUGAUAGUAUUUUUUGGACUUAAUUUUCCUUCAUUGGAUCUGUCAUAAUUAAAAUACCAGAAAAUAAAGUUUUUAAGAGAUUAUACAACAUGUAUGCAUCUUCGUUAAGCAAUGUUUGAUGAAUAAUUGGUUUAAUUCCAUGAAAAAAGUAACAACAAAGAUUGCAAAUGUAGAAGUUAGGCACUUUCUGAUUUGUACAUAUAUAGAAGCUUUUGUUGGACUUGGUAGGACAGUGACAUGUGACUUUAACCAAAAUUAUAUAUCAAGGUUGCUUGUGAUGGAAACAGGGGAGGAUGAUGAGAAAGUGGUUCUAGAGUUUGAAGGGUUGAUGAUUCUACUGGCACAUUUGUGCAUGGAAGUUUCUUUUGAUCUUUGCCACCACAAUGCUUUUUGUUUAUGGCGGUUUGAAGCUUGGUCAAUCCAUUUUGAUGUAAAACAAUUGUUAUUAUUCAAUUCCUUUAAGGUUUUUUUUUUUUUGAUAUACUUGGUAUUUGUUGAUUAUGGUCAAGAGGUUAACUCUAUACUACCAAGGGAAGUUGUGAGGAAAUCCUAUUUUGAAAUGAGACUUCAUUGAUGUAUUGGCUUCCAUACAAGGUCACAUCAAAUUAAGAAGCAGAGGACAUAACAAUACAGAUCAACCGGCAACCAUAGAACAACUGCCUAAAUCCUUGAAAUAGAAAUCAAAGAUGGUAUUUUAUGAUUAAUACCAAUAUCCUUAGAGUGCACAACAAAUGACGUUGAUAGGUAAUAAGUUUUCCAUAAGGUGAAAAAUCAUAUCAAGAAAUCUCAAUGAAUUUUCAUUUAUUUGUUGAUUAUAGUAACAUACUUUCCUUUUCAUUUUCAUUUUCUUAUUCGUCCAGUGUAUAUUGAAAAUCCAUCCAUUUAUAACA